AGCUAUAUGGGCAUCACCGCUGGACUCCGUGGACUCCUCUUUUCCUUUGCUGAGCUAUGACUCUCUGAAUUCCAGCUUCUGAAGGUUCACCUGGAGAUCCUGGCAUGGCAGCAAUAGCUUUGUGCUCCGUCCUGCCAACUGCCUAAGUUCAAGUCUCAGCUCCUUCACAUACGAGCCAGGCGUCUUCAAGGAAGGUACUUAACAAAUUGGGCACCAGCUUCCUUACCUGGAAAACAGCUAGUGACAGUUCCUGCCUCAGAGUCUGCCUGUGAAGUUUACUUCCUGACACAUGGUAACACUGGCAGCAGUUGGACGUGGUGGGAGUAAAGGACAGUCCCAAGUUUGACUCCACCAUCCAGGAUGCAUCCUCCUGUUGAACUGUGGUGUUUAAGUGAUUUUUUUCAGAACUGUUGCAGACAGAG